UACAGAGACUGCAAGCGUUAUUCGGAUUCACUGGGCGUAAAGGGUGCGCAGGCGGCCGUGUGUGUGAGGCGUGAAAGCCUGAUGCUUAACAUCGGAAUUGCACCUCAAACUACAUGGCUAGAGCAUUGGAGAGGGUAGCGGAAUUCACGGUGUAGCAGUGAAAUGCGUAGAUAUCGUGAGGAACACCAGAGGCGAAGGCGGCUACCUGGACAAUUGCUGACGCUCAGGCACGAAAGCGUGGGGAGCAAAAGGG
rnacentral:rRNA from 1 species